rnacentral:rRNA from 1 species
UACGAAGGGGGCUAGCGUUGUUCGGAAUUACUGGGCGUAAAGGGCGCGUAGGCGGUCCUGAUCGUCGGAUGUGAAAGGCCUGGGCUCAACCUGGGAAUGGCAUCCGAUACGGCGGGACUGGAGUGUGGGAGAGGUUGGUGGAAUUCCCAGUGUAGAGGUGAAAUUCGUAGAUAUCGGGAGGAACACCAGUGGCGAAGGCGGCGAUCUGGGUCGAUACUGACGCUGAGGUGCGAAAGCGUGGGGAGCAAACAGG